GACGAACGCUGGCGGCGUGCUUAACACAUGCAAGUCGAACGAUGAAGCCGGAGCUUGCUCCGGUGGAUUAGUGGCGAACGGGUGAGUAACACGUGAGCAAUCUGCCCUUGACUCUGGGAUAACUGCGGGAAACUGUAGCUAAUACCGGAUACGACACCUUGGGGCAUCCCAGGGUGUGGAAAGAAUUUCGGUCAAGGAUGAGCUCGCGGCCUAUCAGCUAGUUGGUGAGGUAAUGGCUCACCAAGGCGACGACGGGUAGCCGGCCUGAGAGGGUGACCGGCCACACUGGAACUGAGACACGGUCCAGACUCCUACGGGAGGCAGCAGUGGGGAAUAUUGCACAAUGGGCGAAAGCCUGAUGCAGCAACGCCGCGUGAGGGAUGACGGCCUUCGGGUUGUAAACCUCUUUUAGUAGGGAAGAAGCGAAAAUGACGGUACCUGCAGAAAAAGCACCGGCUAACUACGUGCCAGCCGCCGCAGUAA
rnacentral:rRNA from 1 species